UACGGGGGGGGCAAGCGUUGUUCGGAAUUACUGGGCGUAAAGGGCUCGUAGGUGGCCAACUAAGUCGGACGUGAAAUCCCUCGGCUUAACCGGGGAACUGCAUCCGAUACUGGAUGGCUUGAGUUUGGGAGAGGGACGCGGAAUUCCAGGUGUAGCGGUGAAAUGCGUAGAUAUCACUUGGAACGCCAAUGGUGAAAACAGCUCGCUGGGAAUGAUCUGACACUGAGACGCGAAAGCCAGGGGAGCGAACGGG
rnacentral:rRNA from 1 species